rnacentral:hammerhead_ribozyme from 1 species
AUUCAACUGAAAAGUCCCGAAUAGGACAAAACACGCGUCCUGGAU